AAAGAAUUCGCACAAUGAAACAGUAACAAUGACAGCACGAAGUAGAACGUAAAAGAGGAUGAAGAGGUUGCGUGCCGCUGCAUGCGCGUAGAGGAUUGGAUUGGGAAGAAAUGAUAAAAUAUUAACCCUAAAAGUAAAAUUUUGCUCAAUGAUAAAAUAGGAAUAAAGAGAUGGAGUGAGGGGUAAAAGAAGAAGGGGGAGGUGGAGGGAGCAACACCCCAACGAAAAUGGGAUAUUCGUUGGGCCUUCAAUGGAUACCCAUACCCCUUAAUAGAUAUGAACAUAACGGAUCCCCC
rnacentral:lncRNA from 1 species